CGGAUUAUUGGGCGUAAGCGAGCGCAGACGGUUAUUUAAGUCUGAAGUGAAAGCCCUCAGCUCAACUGAGGAAUUGCUUUGGAAACUGGAUGACUUGAGUGCAGUAGAGGAAAGUGGAACUCCAUGUGUAGCGGUGAAAUGCGUAGAUAUAUGGAAGAACACCAGUGGCGAAGGCGGCUUUCUGGACUGUAACUGACGUUGAGGCUCGAAAGUGUGGGUAGCAAACAGGAUUAGAUACCCUGGUAGUCCACACCGUAAACGAUGAGUGCUAGGUGUUUGAGGGUUUCCGCCCUUAAGUGCCGCAGCUAACGCAUUAAGCACUCCGCCUGGGGAGUACGACCGCAAGGUUGAAACUCAAAGGAAUUGACGGGGACCCGCACAAGCGGUGGAGCAUGUGGUUUAAUUCGAAGCAACGCGAAGAACCUUACCAGGUCUUGACAUCCCUUGACAACUCCAGAGAUGGAGCGUUCCCUUCGGGGACAAGGUGACAGGUGGUGCAUGGUUGUCGUCAGCUCGUGUCGUGAGAUGUUGGGUUAAGUCCCGCAACGAGCGCAACCCUUAUUACUAGUUGCCAGCAUUUAGUUGGGCACUCUAGUGAGACUGCCGGUGACAACCGGAGGAAGGUGGGGGAUGACGUCAAAUCAUCAUGCCCCUUAUGACCUGGGCUACACACGUGCUACAAUGGCGUAUACAACGAGUUGCCACCCGCGAGGGUGAGCUAAUCUCUUAAAUACGUCUCAAUUCCGAAUUGUAGGCUUGCACUCGCCUACAUGAAGUCGGAAUCGCUAGUAAUCGCGGAUCACACGCCGCGGUUGAAUACGUUCCCCGGGUCUUGUACACACCGCCCGUCCACCAUGAAGAGUUUGUACACCCAAGCCGGUGGGGUAACCUUCGGGAGCCACCGUCUAAGUGGGACGAUAUU
rnacentral:rRNA from 1 species